rnacentral:lncRNA from 1 species
CUAAAAGCCAAAAUGACUUUUGCUAGAACCAUCUAAAGUCACUUUUCACACAUAUUUUCCUUCCAGGCAUUGUGAAAACUGCUCUGGUCUUUGGUCCUGUUCUGGGAAACUCACAUGUGACCCAGGGACUGUGCCUAAUGCUGGAAUUACUGACAUCUGUACAUCAUUUCAGUGGCAAAUUACAGCUGGGACAUGCUAACCCCAAAGUAAAAUAAAGAUCCCAGACACCAUCAAAGCUGUUACAGGUCUCCAGGAAUAUCUCUAUUUCAGUCUCAGAUGUGAUGACAUCUAAGCACUGGCUGGGAACCACUCUUCUCAUCAGUACAUACCAUCAGGUGAAUAUUGUUUUUUUCUU